rnacentral:rRNA from 1 species
GAACGCUGGCGCGUGCUUAACACAUGCAAGUCGAACGGUGAAGCUCCAGCUUGCUGGAGUGGAUCAGUGGCGAACGGGUGAGUMACACGUGAGCCACCUGCCCCAAACUCUGGAAUAAGCGCUGGAAACGGCGUCUAAUACUGGAUGCGAGACCAACCUGCAUGGGUAUGGUUUGGAAAGUUUUUCGGUUUGGGAUGGGCUCGCGGCCUAUCAGCUUGUUGGUGAGGUAAUGGCUCACCAAGGCGACGACGGGUAGCCGGCCUGAGAGGGCGACCGGCCACACUGGGACUGAGACACGGCCCAGACUCCUACGGGAGGCAGCAGUGGGGAAUAUUGCACAAUGGGCGAAAGCCUGAUGCAGCGACGCCGCGUGAGGGAUGACGGCCUUCGGGUUGUAAACCUCUUUCAGCAGGGAAGAAGCGAAAGUGACGGUACCUGCAGAAGAAGCACCGGCUAACUACGUGCCAGCAGCCGCGGUAAUACGUAGGGUGCGAGCGUUGUCCGGAAUUAUUGGGCGUAAAGAGCUUGUAGGCGGUUUGUCGCGUCUGCUGUGAAAAUCCGGGGCUCAACCCCGGACUUGCAGUGGGUACGGGCAGACUAGAGUGUGGUAGGGGAGACUGGAAUUCCUGGUGUAGCGGUGAAAUGCGCAGAUAUCAGGAGGAACACCGAUGGCGAAGGCAGGUCUCUGGGCCACUACUGACGCUGAGAAGC